GACACUAUCAGGCAGCUGGAGAAUGAGCUGACCAAUGCUAAACUAGACAUGUCUGGCUACCUGAGAGAGAACCAGGACCUGCUGAAUGUCAAAAUGGCUUUGGAUGUGGAGAUUCUCUCUUACAGGUAAGAGACAUCAGCUCUGUCUCUCCCAUAUAUAAAAUCAUUGACUGAGGAAAAUACCGUAUAUUUUUAGUCUGUUCCUGGAUAUUGUUCUGAAUAUACCCGGGGUGUGGACAUUUUAUUCUAGCCCAGCGCUAACACAUGUGAUUCAACUUAGUGCUGUGUUACAGCAAAACUGUGCAAAAGUGUCAUAGCGAUGGUGAGAGAUUACUACAAAACACAGUCAAUAGUAAACAAAUGAAACAGUAGACAUUUUAUUGAAAUAGUUUGAUUUCAUAUUUAACAUCAAAUGAACAUAGACCAUUUCACAACACAGAAUGACACUUUACUCAUGAUAUGGAUAUUCAGACAUAUCCACACACACUGUUCUCACGAGCUGACAUGUGUGUGUGCAGAAUUGAUCAGUCUGGCAUUUACGAGGCUAACACAUUGGGACAUAUCUGUAUUAUAGUCAUGAUGGUAAUAACACGUCUCCCUAUAGGAAACUCCUGGAGGGUGAGGAGUCCCAUCUGUACACCAUCUCUGACACCCACAUCUCCAUGCCCUGCAUCUACCGCCAGUCCCCCGUCUACACCCUGCCUUGCCUGGCCCGGCAGGGAGGGCCCACACGCAGGUCUGAACCCCAGUACAAGUUUGUUGAGGAGAUCAUCUCUGAGACCACCAGAGACAUGGAGAUGUCCGAGAUUGAGGAGACAGGCUCCGAGGAGACGGUCGGGGGAGAGGGAGACAAGUUGAGACAGAAGCAGGGAGAAGAGAGUGACAAAGCUGAGAGGAGAAGUGGGGAACAGGUGGAUGAGCAGAAAGAGAAAGCUAGAGGUAAAGUGGAUGUUGAAGUGGACGCCCCGGAGGAAGAGGGUGAACAGGAGGAAGAGUCUAAGAGACAGCAGAUGGUCACAUCAGCAGAGGUCGAGGUAAAUGGAGAUGGAGUUAGCCCUAGUGAGGGAGAAAAUGGAGAGGAGGGAGAUGAUGAAAGAGAGGAGGAAAAGGGGGGUGAGCCAGAUGCAAUCAAAAAGACAGAGGACAUUGACAGAGGUGAAAAUACACAAAGUGAAGUCAAAUCAGCUGAGGCCACCAGUGAGGGAGAGAAGGAAAAACUGGACACAACAGAGAAGCUAGACAGCGAGAUAAACGAGACAUUAGAAAAAGAUGACACCCCAAAACAAGGCAAAUCCCAACUAGAGGUUCCCAUGAAUGGUGACAUCUCAACAGAACCCAAAACGUCAGAGUCAGAGGAUAGCAAAACAGGAAGUUCAAUAAAGGGUGAACCACAGGUCCCCACAGAGAACAUCUCCAAAGAACCCAAAAAGGUGUCAGAGGAGAGAAAAAUAGAAAGGCCUUUACAAGAGAAAAAAGAGGUAGAUCUGAAAGAGGAGAGUGCCCCAACAGAGCAACAACAAGAUAGCCCAAAAGAAAGUCCCAUCAAAGAGGGAAAAAAGGUAGAUCUGACAGACCAGAGUGCCCCAACACUGGAGCAGAAACCUGAUCAGGAGCACAGAGAGUCAGACCAACCUCAAGAGGCAGAGAGUGCUGUGACAACACAAGAAGAGGAUCUCCCUGAGCCCACAGAGAAGGACAUGGAAUCCUCUGAUAACACUGCAGAGCUCAACACCAGUUCAACCAAGGAGACAGUGGAGCAGGUGAAGUCACCUGAUGAUUCUGGUGUAAAAACGACACAAGAUGAGAGAACAGUAGGAGGUAAAAUGCCAGACAGAAUUCUCAGCACAACAAGUGAGUGUAAGGAAGAGCCUUUGCAAAAGACUCCUAAAAAGGAGGUGGGUCCGACAGAGCAAAAAGUGAGCAGCAAGGAUGAUAGUGUAAAAAGUUUUGUGCAGAAGGAACAUAAUGGCAGAGAAAAGGUCACAAAAGAUGUCUCAAUGAGUGAGGACAAGGGGAAAGAAUCGGAGACAUCCCCUAAACCCAACCCCACUGUGACUCCUAAAGAAGAAACAAGCCUGUAUUCAGAGCCAACUGUCACCCCUAAAGAAGAAACUUCCAUUAAACCAGAACCAGCAGUCACUGCAAAAGAAGAAACGUCCCCAAAACCAGAACUAGCAGUCACCACUAAAGAAGAAACUUCCCCAAAAACAGAACCAGCAGUCACCACUAAAGAAGAAACGUCCCCAAAACCAGAACUAGCAUUCACCACUAAAGAGGUGACAUCCCCUAAACCGGAACCCACUGUCACCCCUAAAGACGAAACAUCCCCAAAACCGGACCAAACUGUCACCCCUAAAGAGGAGUCAUCCCCACAACAGGAGCCAACUGUCACCCUUAAAGAGGAGACAUCUCCUAAACCGUACCCUACUGUCACCCCUAAAGAGGAGACAUCCCCACAACAGGAGCCAGUUGUCACACCUAAAGUAGAAAAUUCCCGCAAACCAGAACCAGCAGUCACCCCUAAAGAAGAAACUUCCCCAAAACCAGAACCAGCAUUCACCCUUAAAUUAGAAACUUCCCCACCACCAGAACUAGCUGUCACCGCUAAAGAAGAAACUGCCCCAAAACUAGAACUAGCAGUCACCACUAUAGAGGAAACUUCCCCAAAACCAGAACCAGCAGUCGCCCCUAAAGUACAAACUUCCCCAAAACCAGACCCAACCAUCACCCCCAAACAGGAAAUAUCCCCUAAUUCAGACCCAACCCUCACCCCAGAAUCAAUGACCACCCCUAAACCAGACUCAACCCUCACCCCAGAAUCAUCGACCAGCCCUACAGAAGAGAGUGAAACGAUGGGCAGUGGUGACAAAGCUAAGACAAUCACACCACCAGAGGAACAGAUGCCUGCAGUUGUAGAGAGCAAGGACUCACACAGGGGGGUGCCAGAAAGCAACACAACUCAGGAGAAACCAGAGGAAAGUAUGGACAAAGAGCCUGAGAAGGUUACAGAACCCAAAGACAGAGAGCGUGAAGACCAAGGCCUCUGA
ensembl:lncRNA